GAUGAAGAACGUAGUGAAAUGCGAUACUUGGUGUGAAUUGCAGAAUCCCGUGAACCAUCGAGUCUUUGAACGCAAGUUGCGCCCGAAGCCAUCAGGUUGAGGGCACGUCUGCCUGGGCGUCACAUAUCGUUGCCCAAUGCCUAUUGCAGUGCAAUAGGAAUUUCUAGGGCGAAUGAUGGCUUCCUGUGAGCGUUGUUGCCUCGCGGUUGGUUGAAAAUCGAGUCCUUGGUAGGGUGUGCCAUGGUAGAUGGUGGUCGAGUUAGAACGAUACCGAUCAUGUGCAUGCUCCCCAAAAUAUGGCCUCUAUGACCCACACGCGUCUUUUGACGCUCAUGACGAGACCUCAGGUCAGGCGGGGCUACCCGCUGAAUUUAAGCAUAUCAAUAAGCGGAGGA
rnacentral:misc_RNA from 1 species